AACGAACGCUGGCGGCGUGGAUAAGACAUGCAAGUCGAACGGGAUUUUUUCCUGUAGCAAUACAGGAAAAAGUCUAGUGGCGAACGGGUGCGUAACACGUGAGCAACCUGCCGUGAAGUGGGGGAUAGCUCGCCGAAAGGCGAAUUAAUACCGCAUGUGGCCAAGGAAGACAUCUUCCUGACGCCAAAGCCGGGGCAACCUGGCGCUUCUCGAGGGGCUCGCGGCCUAUCAGCUGGUUGGUGAGGUAACGGCUCACCAAGGCUAUGACGGGUAGCUGGUCUGAGAGGACGACCAGCCACACUGGAACUGAGACACGGUCCAGACACCUACGGGUGGCAGCAGUCGAGAAUUUUUCACAAUGGGGGAAACCCUGAUGGAGCGACGCCGCGUGGAGGAUGAAGGUUUUCGGAUUGUAAACUCCUGUCAUUAGAGAACAAGGCACACGGUUUAACUGGCCGUGUGUUGAUAGUAUCUGAAGAGGAAGAGACGGCUUACUCUGUGCCAGCCGCCGCGGUAA
rnacentral:rRNA from 1 species